rnacentral:rRNA from 1 species
CGAAAGCCUGACGGAGCAACGCCGCGUGAGGGAGGAAGGCUCUUGGGUUGUAAACCUCUUUUCUCAAGGAAGAUAAUGACGGUACUUGAGGAAUCAGCAUCGGCUAACUCCGUGCCAGCAGCCGCGGUAAUACGGAGGAUGCAAGCGUUAUCCGGAAUAAUUGGGCGUAAAGCGUUCGUAGGUGGUGAUAUAAGUCUGCUGUUAAAGCGUGUAGCUUAACUACAUAUAGGCGGUGGAAACUACAUGACUAGAGUGCGUUCGGGGCAGAGGGAAUUCCUGGUGUAGCGGUGAAAUGCGUAGAUAUCAGGAAGAACACCGGUGGCGAAGGCGCUCUGCUAGGCCGUAACUGACACUGAGGGACGAAAGCUAGGGGAGCG